rnacentral:rRNA from 1 species
CUUCGGAUGCUGACGAGUGGCGAACGGGUGAGUAAUACAUCGGAACGUGCCCGAUCGUGGGGGAUAACGAGGCGAAAGCUUUGCUAAUACCGCAUAAGAUCUAUGGAUGAAAGCAGGGGACCGCAAGGCCUUGCGCGAACGGAGCGGCCGAUGGCAGAUUAGGUAGUUGGUGGGGUAAAGGCUUACCAAGCCUACGAUCUGUAGCUGGUCUGAGAGGACGACCAGCCACACUGGGACUGAGACACGGCCCAGACUCCUACGGGAGGCAGCAGUGGGGAAUUUUGGACAAUGGGCGCAAGCCUGAUCCAGCCAUGCCGCGUGCAGGAUGAAGGCCUUCGGGUUGUAAACUGCUUUUGUACGGAACGAAAAGCCUUUUUCUAAUAAAGAGAGGUCAUGACGGUACCGUAAGAAUAAGCACCGGCUAACUACGUGCCAGCAGCCGCGGUAAUACGUAGGGUGCAAGCGUUAAUCGGAAUUACUGGGCGUAAAGCGUGCGCA